GAGAAAGUUUUGCAAGGACUGCUAACCCCUGCUCCCAUACUUAACAGUAUGGCUUCCUCA
rnacentral:tRNA from 1 species